rnacentral:rRNA from 1 species
UCGCCCGGGAACUACGAGCCCAGCCUUAAAACCCAAAGGACUUGACGGUGCCCCACAUCCCCCUAGAGGAGCCUGUCCUAUAAUCGAUGAUCCACGUUUUACCUCACCUCUUCUUGCCAACCCGCCUGUAUACCUCCGUCGUCAGCUCACCGCAUGAUCGGUCAAUAGUGAGCAAAAUGGCCAAGCGCCAAAACGUCAGGUCAAGGUGCAGCACAUGAAUAGGGUAGAGAUGGGCUACAUUUUCUAAAUUAGAAAAUUAACGGAAGACUCAAUGAAACCCAGUCAGAAGGCGGAUUUAGCAGUAAAAGGAAACCAGAAAGUCCUUUUUAACACGGCCCAGGGGAUGU